ACAGAAGUAAGUCAAUUGGCAGACGUUCGGUCUCCAAAACCGAUUCAUCUAGGUUCGAGUCCUAGCUUCUGUG
rnacentral:tRNA from 1 species